rnacentral:misc_RNA from 1 species
AGGGAUCAUUACCGAGUUCAUGCCCUUACGGGUAGAUCUCCCACCCUAUGUUAUAUUACCUUUGUUGCUUUGGCAGGCCGUCAGGCUUCGGUGAGGCUACCGGCUCCGGCUGGUAAGCGCCUGCCAGAGGACCCUAAACUCUGAAUAUUAGUGUUGUCUGAGUACUAUAAAAUAGUUAAAACUUUCAACAACGGAUCUCUUGGUUCUGGCAUCGAUGAAGAACGCAGCGAAAUGCGAUAAGUAAUGUGAAUUGCAGAAUUCAGUGAAUCAUCGAAUCUUUGAACGCACAUUGCGCCCCUUGGCAUUCCGAGGGGCAUGCCUGUUCGAGCGUCAUUACAACCCUCAAGCACUGCUUGGUAUUGGGCUCCGCUGGUUGCAGCGGGCCUUAAAAUCAGUGGCAGCGCCGUCUGAGCUCUGAGCGUAGUAAAUAUCCUCGCUAUAGAGACCAGGUGGCUCUCGUCAUCAACCCCCAACUUUCUAAGUUUGACCUCGGAUCAGGUAGGGAUACCCGCUGAACUUAA